CGGAAAGGACCCGGGGCUCUGUGGCUUCCCAUCCGUCUUGUGACCCGGAAUCAUGGUGAUCUAAAAGAGCCCUGUGACUCUGGGAAAUUUGUUAUCAAAGGAUGUUAGCCACAAGUCCUGUUGGCAAAUGGACCCCAGGUGGCCUGCAGUGCCAAGCUGUUUCCCUGCCAGCCUCCCAGUCUGGCCCUGACUCUCCAAUGAGGCCUGCAAAUGUGUUUCCGGGAGGAAAAUCCGUCCCUGCUAUUUCUCCAGCCUUCCCUUGUUACCGGUCCGGCCCUGCCCCUUUAACAUUCAGGAAUGAGAGUGGAAGCAGAAGGCCCAGGUCCCCGGAGGUCCCGACGCCCGGAUUCCACAGCCUGUGAGGGUCCCUUGAGCAGAGCGGGACGAGGCCACUGGCACUACGUCGUGACUUCACCAACAGCCUGCAGUACUCGUUAACGAGAUUUCGCCAGGCCCCUUGGACUAACGCCAGGAUUCUCGGUGCCCGCAGUCAGCGCUCUGGGAUUAGACAACGCCCCACAGGCCGCGGCUCUCUGCUGACCCUCAGCAGCGAUGAGACCGGCGCGCACAAGCCAGCAGCCACUAGCUCUCCCACAAGGCCGAGCGCGGCCAAAGGGCAGCCCCGCCCGCUCCGCCUCCCCCAGCUCUAUUGGCUAGUGCACCUGCCACUCAGCCGCGCGCCGGACUCCGGCUUCGGGCCUGGAGGAGGGAUCCCAAGCCUCCUCGGCUCGGCUCGGCUCGGCUCGGCUCGGCUCGGCUCGGCUCGGCUCGGCUCGGCUCGGCUCGGCUCGGCUCGGCUCGGCUCGGCUCGGCUCGGCUCGGCUCGGCUCGGCUCGGCUCGGCUCGGCUCGGCUCGGCUCGGCUCGGCUCGGCUCGGCUCGGCUCGGCUCGGCUCGGCUCGCUUGUCCUUGAGGUUUACUGUGUUUGGCAUCGCAGUUCCGACGGCAGCCGCCGUUUCGCGACCCACGGCGGACUUGCAUAAACACUUUCUAGUUGGAAUCUCACCCUGUGAGGUGGGCAAGGUAGUGAUAUUCCUGUUUGACGCCGACAGAAAUAAGAGAGAUUGACUCUCAGAACCAUGUGGCGGGAUUUUAAAGGAGGAUCUUAACAGUGGCUCGGACAGACCCGUGUUUUCUGCUCCUAGCAUUAACUACGUCGUUAAACCCUUCUGAAUUUAUUUCGUCUGUGAAAUGGGGAAAAGAUAGCCACCUUGCAUAACUGGUGAAGAAUUCGUAAACUGACAGCAGAAUCUAGUAAGAGGACUGGCCCGUGGUCGGCUCUUAAUGGUGUCACAGAAUAAAGAAAAAGACUGGGAGAGAGAUGGGAGCUGAUAGACCAGAGGAGACCAAAGACUGAAACUGAAGACUAAACCAUGGAAAUUGGGAACAAGCACUUACUCGCUUAGAGGGUGAAAAAAGUGAAUUUGCCUACAGGGCCAAUUUGGAAGCACCUCUCCCUGGAAGCCAGUCAAUGAAGAGCCAUUGGAGGAUUUUAAAUAAGGAACCGAAAAAUGGAGUCUGAAAAUAGAGGCGCAGAGACCGGUCAACCACAAUGAAGAACAAGCCAUUUUGACCUCCAUCCUGGCUCAUCUCCUCUGUGUUCUCAUAGCAUCAUAUUAUAGAAUGGAUCACAAACGCCUUUGCAGUUGCCUAUUUAUUUGUCCAUUUCUCCCUCCAGACUGUUCUUCCCCAAACCAUCAUGGACCAGUUGGACUCUGAGAAGAAAAGUUUCUGAUCUUUAGUUCAUUCUUCCAACUCUCUAGAAAGCAGGAAAACUGAGAAUGAAAAAUUCUAAAUUACUCAGGACUCAUGGGUUGCCAAUAGAAGAAAUACAUCUUAAACUAGCUUAAGCCUGAAAGGGAAAUGUAUUUGUUCAUGUAACUGAACCAUAACGAAGGAUGGUGGACUGAGGGACCUGAAAACACCCUCAGGACUCCCUCCCUCUCCUUUGUGCUCCUGUCUGAUGCCGUCUUCCCAGACCUGCUCACUCUCCAUAAGGUGGGGAUGUGGCCAUCAGCAACGUGUACUUCCCCGAAGCUUGUGACCUGAGUAGAUAGGCAUCUCCCAACCCACAAGGAUUGAAAAGUUCCUCUAGGAAUUAUGUGGAUUGGCCCAUUCACUAUGACAUGUUCCCCCUAAGCAGCUAAAGGAACUGGGUCUGUUACCAGAAGAGGUGGGAGAGGGGUGCUAGGCAGAUUGAACAACAGCCACUACAACAUCUGAGGAGGAGACCUCCGUGAAGGCCACCAAGUCUGCUAGCAGAUAUUUCCUCCCUCGGAUCUCUCUCCCUGUCCUCACAGUCUCAUAAGUGAGGAUUAAAUACUACAUGUGGCCUAGGAGAUCUUAGACCCUCCACACGAAGAUAUAGUAACAAUCAACAUCCUAGUGUUCUGGCAGAGAAAAAAUCAGAAAGAAUCGUUUGCCUGAUUUUUCCAUCAAUACCAAUAAUUAAUUAGAGAUGAAAUUUGUGAUGGACUCAGAGAAUUAGAGAAGAUCUAAGGGAAUCUAGAUGAUUUCCUACCCCUAACCAGAGCCUCACAAAAAAGGGUGAAGAUCUAUGGCCGUCUUGCGUUUGGUGUGAGGCUGGACAAGGAAGUUCCUAAGGUCCUUUAGACUCUGUGAGAUCAUGAGUCCGUAAAACCCUUCCAACUUGAAAUUAGUUGAUUCCUUCCUUAAAUUUUCUGGGACAUUCCCCCACUCCCUCCACUCUUAUUAGCUGAUUUUACUGACCAAUAGGCCUUGAAGUUGGGCGUUCCAUCUAGAUGUCUCACAUCAACUCACCUUUUGCAAAUUAAGCCCAUACCCUUAAAGAGGGGAAUUCUCAAGCCAUUAGAAACUAGAGAGUCAGCUGGGCAUGGUGGCUCACGCCUGUAAUCCCAGAACUUUGGGAGGCCAAGGUGGGUGGAUCACUUGAGGUCAGGAGUUCGAGUCCAGCCUGACCAACAUGGCGAAACCCCGUCUCUACUAAAAAUACAAAAAUUAGCCAGGGGUGAUGGCAUGCACCUGUAAUCCCAGCUACUCAGGAGGCUGAGGCAGGAGAAUUGCUUGAACCUGGGAGGCGGAGGUUGCAGUGAGCCAAGUUUGCACCACAGCACUCCAGCCUGGGCAACAGAGUGAGACUCAGUUUCAAAAAACAAAAGAACAAACAAACAAAAACUAGAGGGUCUCCUCUUAGUUCUUAAACCCUCUUAGUCAACAUUUGUGAGCCUCUUUUCUGUAUGUUUUGGCAUCUUUAUUCCUUUCCUUCGUGUCUUGACCAAAUUCACCAGAUCAUGACUCAGAACAAAAUCCUGAGGUUGAAUAUAGAGGUCUAGAACAUCUUCAAAUUAACUGUUUCUCCUCAUAGAGAAUUAAAGAAAUUGAGAAAGCAAGAG
rnacentral:lncRNA from 10 species